GGAUGUGAGGGCGAUCUUGCUGUGACAUCUGUCACCCCAUUGAUCACCAGGGUUGGUUCAGCUGAUCUGGCUGACAAGGUGGGUGUCCCUCCUGAAGCUGUGUGCUCAGUUGAAGUGGAAAGCCUUCUCUGAAUAGAGAGGGACCAGUCUUCGGUCGAGGGUAUACGAGUAGCUGCGCUUCCCUGCUAAAACCUCCAAAUUUUAUCUUGAUGAGGAAAUCACUAUUUUGUCCAUGUGACUUUUACACAUAAAAAUGAUCAUGUUAAGUGGAACUGAAGAUGAUUAAGUUU
rnacentral:snRNA from 1 species